GACCAGUGAACACACACACACAUACGGCCGCGACUCGCUCCUCACUCGCUUCCCCUCAAAACUUUUUAUCUGGUAAUUAAACUACUUCAUUAACUACUACAAAAAGUGAUUAUAUAAGUGAUAAGUGUAGUUUAAGUGUAUAUAAUUAAUUAGGUGUAGUGAGGAGAGGAAUAAUUAUAUUUUAAAGUGAAAUAAACGUAUUUUUUCGGGAGGAAUUUUGAAAUGAUUAGAAUUUUUUUGGUCCUGAUCAUACUGAGAGAUUUUAUACCCAAAUGAGGGAGUUUUUUGUGUUAUUUGAUAGGGAAUGAUCGUGUCUACUGUCAACCCUGUGUCAGUCCUGUCAGCGAGGAUGGGGAGGCUAGUGAACUGACUUCAACAUACGCCUUGAUAUUAUUAAGCCAUGGAGUUGAGACGUGUCUGAGAGAGGUACCAGGCCAGGUUGAGACAGUCUGCCUUCUUAGCUGUGGUCGUCAUAGCUGCCUUGACUUCAUUCUCUAUUUUAGCUGCACUACACACGCUGCCCAGAGUGAUGAGUGGCCAGUGUCUGCUGUCAUCUUCGGGUGUUAUGGCG